GAUGAACGCUAGCGGUAGGCCUAACACAUGCAAGUCGAGGGGGAGGUUACUUUCGGGUAACUGAGACCGGCGUACGGGUGCGUAACGCGUAUACAAUCUGCCUUUCACUGGGGGAUAGCCCGAAGAAAUUUGGAUUAAUACCCCAUAGUAUAGUAAUACGGCAUCGUGAUGCUAUUAAAGCUUAGGUGGUGAAAGAUGAGUAUGCGUUCUAUUAGCUAGUUGGAGAGGUAACGGCUCCCCAAGGCGAUGAUAGAUAGGGGUUCUGAGAGGGAUGUCCCCCACACUGGUACUGAGAUACGGACCAGACGCCUACGGGAGGCAGCAGUGAGGAAUAUUGGACAAUGGUCGGAAGACUGAUCCAGCCAUGCCGCGUGCAGGAUGAAGGUCUUAUGGAUUGUAAACUGCUUUUGUAAGGGAAGAAUAAGGGCUACGCGUAGUUUGAUGACGGUACCUUACGAAUAAGCAUCGGCUAACUCCGUG
rnacentral:rRNA from 1 species